rnacentral:lncRNA from 1 species
GAGCUCCUAGCCCCGGUCCUUUCUCAAGGUGUGGGGGCCACCGCUGAGACCCGGGUGCCCCUAAGUCAACAGUUGUCAGCAAAUAUUUACCCGGCACUUUCCGUUCCAGGUUCUAGGUGUGCAAUGGGAGCAAGACAGAGGAGGUUCUUGCACGGACAGCACUUCUAGAAGCCUAGGAUGCAGGGAUUUCAAUCCAAAGAUUAAAAACAGUGGACAAAGGCCCUGCGGCUUAAUACACAGUGCUAGAGAAGCGCGCAUGCGUGCUUGGUGUUAGGGACAGCCUGGACAGCCUUGGGGGAGCCAGGGAGGGUUCCCUGGACCGAGAGGAGUCUGGACAGAGGCCUGUAGGAUGACUUGGAGUCAGCUUUUAGCCAUGCAAACAAGGGUUCUUCCAGGCCAGCGAACAGCCUGUGAGUGGUGCCAUUUCAAUAAGGCUGGCUGGAGCCGCAGGAUCUGGGUAGCAUAAGGAGAGGGAGGAGCCCAAGCCAACAGGACCUUGAACGCCUCCUAAACCAUUUGGACUUUUUCCUGAGGGUAAUGGGGCGCCCUUGAAGGAUCUCAUGUCAGAGUGACAUAUUGCUCAGAAUGGAGUUGAAGGGCAAGGGUAGAUAUAGGUCAGGAGGCUGAUGUUUGGGAGAGGGGAAUGGACCCAAGAGAUGUUUAAGACACAGGAAAAUGGGAUGUGGAGGUUAGGUUAGGUUCUGCAUGAAUGGUGCCCCCCCUCCUUCCCUGCAGGAGAAAGAGCUGGAAGGAGAGAAAGGUGAAACAACAAGGAUCCCCUGGGACGAGUUGAGUUUUAGGUGCCUGUGGGACACCAGGCCACUGACUAUGGAGUUCUGGGCCCCUGAUAUGUGGGGGCAGAGUUCUGGACUGAUCACCAUCUGCAUUUGGAGGCACAUUUCCACCUCAGCGACCCUCUGAUGGCUAGUUUAUUGACUCUUACAGACAUGUCUGCUCUGAACACUGCCCACCUGGCUUUGUUCUGCCAGCAUGCAAGGGACCAGUUGGAGAUCACUAAGGCCCCAGCGCCCAUCCAAGGAUGCCUGUGGCAUGAAUGCUCCUCUACCUCUCUUCUACCUUCAGCCAGCUGUGCUGUGUGCUGCUGGAAUAGCUUCAGGUGCCCUGAGCUGGGACUGGAGAUGAUGGGGAGGCUUGGACAGUGGGGGUCACCUGGAGUGGAGAAAUUCAAGUGACUAAAUGUACUCCCCUGUGAGGCUGAGCAUUUGGAGAUGGAAAGGAAGGCUGGGGUGGUGGCUCAUUGGUAGAGCACUCGCCGAACAUGCGUGAGGCACUGGGUUUGAUUCUCAGCACC